rnacentral:rRNA from 1 species
GACGUAGGAGGCGAGCGUUGUCCGGAUUCAUUGGGCGUAAAGAGCACGCAGGCGGUUUGGCAAGUCGGAUGUGAAAACCCCGAAGCUCAACUUCGGGGCCUGCAUCCGAAACUGCCCGACUAGAGGUAGGUAGGGGAGAUCGGAAUUCCUGGGUGUAGCGGUGAAAUGCGCAGAUAUCAGGAGGAACACCGGUGGCGAAGGCGGAUCUCUGGGCCUUACCUGACGCUCAGGUGCGAAAGCUAGGGGAGCGAACAGG